rnacentral:rRNA from 1 species
AGUGAACGCUGGCGGUAGGCCUAACACAUGCAAGUCGAACGGCAGCACAGUAAGAGCUUGCUCUUACGGGUGGCGAGUGGCGGACGGGUGAGGAAUACAUCGGAAUCUACUUUUUCGUGGGGGCUAACGUAGGGAAACUUACGCUAAUACCGCAUACGACCUACGGGUGAAAGCAGGGGAUCUUCUGACCUUGCGCGAUUGAAUGAGCCGAUGUCGGCUUAGCUAGUUGGCGGGGUAAAGGCCCACCAAGGCGACGAUCCGUAGCUGGUCUGAGAGGAUGAUCAGCCACACUGGAAGUGAGACACGGUCCAGACUCCUACGGGAGGCAGCAGUGGGGAAUAUUAGACAAUGGGGGCAAGCCUGAUCCAGCCAUACCGCGUGGGUGAAGAAGGCCUUCGGGUUGUAAAGCCCUUUUGUUGGGAAAGAAAAGCAGCAGGUUAAUACCCCGCUGUUCUGACGGUACCCAAAGAAUAAGCACCGGCUAACUUCGUG